CCUACGGGAGGCAGCAGUGAGGAAUAUUGGUCAAUGGGCGCGAGCCUGAACCAGCCAAGUAGCGUGAAGGAUGACUGCCCUACGGGUUGUAAACUUCUUUUAUAAAGGAAUAAAGUGAGACACGCGUGCCUUUUUGUAUGUACUUUAUGAAUAAGGAUCGGCUAACUCCGUGCCAGCAGCCGCGGUAAUACGGAGGAUCCGAGCGUUAUCCGGAUUUAUUGGGUUUAAAGGGAGCGUAGAUGGGUGGUUAAGUCAGUUGUGAAAGUUUGCGGCUCAACUGUAAAAUUGCAAUUGAUACUGGCAGGCUUGAGUACAGUUGAGGUAGGCGGAAUGCGUGGUGUAGCGGUGAAAUGCUUAGAGAUCACACAGAACUCCGAUUGCGAAGGCAGCUUACUAAGCUGCUACUGACAUUGAUGCACGAAAGUGUGGGGAUCAAACAGGAUUAGAUACCCGGGUAGUC
rnacentral:rRNA from 1 species